CAUCUUGGCCUUUGGAAAUAGAACUGGGUGUGAACCAGUAUUGCAAUAAACUAAGGGCUCUGGAAUAAAUAAACCCAGGGCUCUGGAAAGGUUUUCAACCCAGAAGCUCCAGGCAAAUGUGACAAUCUUAUUACCAACUGAAGAGGACAUGCUAUUCCCAGGGGCCUUCAAACACCACUGGGCAGUGGGGUGUAAGCAAAGGGAAGUGGGGAGCAUUCUCUGAAUGCUGUUCUGGGGCUUUCCUCCUUAAGCCCUGAGCAGAGGUCCUGAUGCCUCCCCACACACAGGUGGAGACGCUGAAGCUCAGGACAGCCACAUCGGCUCUUCUUACCAAGUCUUUCUGAGUGUGUCCACCUCUGAAAUCCUGCCCAGGGAACCUGACUUUGUUAUCUCCCUACAUCAAACCCAUUCUCUGGAGGAAAGGAAACUUAUCCAGCCUCUCCUCCCAUCAGCUCUGCCCAUCUCCCUUCCUCACCCAGGAAGGAGGGAGUGAUGGUCACCCAUGCAGCUGCAAUUCUUCCUCCACAUAUCUUUGUAGUCAGGGGUCAAAUGCAUCCUCAUUCCCACUUCCCUUUGACCUCCUCCCUCUUUGAUGGAGCUGGUGGGGAAGUGAAUUCAGGGUCUACUGCAUCCAUCCAACCAAUUUGCAGCCAUCCCAGGCUCCAUCUCCCUUCAACUUACCCAGGUGGUGGACUGAAGCUUUAGGUUCCAGGAGGUGCAGGAGGCCCACUUGGCCUCAGAUAGCCCAUCUGUGCAGUCACUGUCAUAUUCUGCAUUGGCGAUGAGUGACAAGGGUUCAACUUAU
rnacentral:lncRNA from 1 species